rnacentral:rRNA from 1 species
UGCCAGCAGCCGCGGUAACACGGAGGGCGCGAGGGUUGUUCGGAAUCACUGGGCGUAAAGCGCGCGUAGGCGGUUGGGUAAGUCGCUUGUGAAAGCCCGGAGCUCAACUCCGGGAGGCCAGGCGAUACUGUCCGACUAGAGCACGGUAGAGGCAAGUAGAAUUCCCGGUGUAGCGGUGGAAUGCGUAGAUAUCGGGAAGAACACCAGUGGCGAAGGCGGCUUGCUGGGCCGUUGCUGACGCUGAGGUGCGAAAGCGUGGCGAGCAAGCAGGAUUAGAUA